CAGGGCUUGACAUCCUCUGAAUGCCAUAGAGAUAUGGAGUUCUCUUCGGAGACAGAGAGACAGGUGGUGCAUGGUUGUCGUCAGCUCGUGUCGUGAGAUGUUGGGUUAAGUCCCGCAACGAGCGCAACCCCUGUACUUAGUUGCCAGCAUUAAGUUGGGCACUCUAAGUAGACUGCCGGUGACAAACCGGAGGAAGGUGGGGAUGACGUCAAAUCAUCAUGCCCCUUAUGUCCUGGGCUACACACGUGCUACAAUGGUCGGUACAGAGGGCAGCAAAGCCGUGAGGUGGAGCAAAUCCCAAAAAGCCGAUCACAGUUCGGAUUGUAGGCUGAAACUCGCCUACAUGAAGUCGGAAUCGCUAGUAAUCGCAGGUCAGCAUACUGCGGUGAAUACGUUCCC
rnacentral:rRNA from 1 species